GGUUAAGCGACUAAGCGUACACGGUGGAUGCCCUGGCAGUCAGAGGCGAUGAAGGACGUGCUAAUCUGCGAUAAGCGUCGGUAAGGUGAUAUGAACCGUUAUAACCGGCGAUUUCCGAAUGGGGAAACCCAGUGUGAUUCGUCACACUAUCAUUAACUGAAUCCAUAGGUUAAUGAGGCGAACCGGGGGAACUGAAACAUCUAAGUACCCCGAGGAAAAGAAAUCAACCGAGAUUCCCCCAGUAGCGGCGAGCGAACGGGGAGCAGCCCAGAGCCUGAAUCAGUGUGUGUGUUAGUGGAAGCGUCUGGAAAGGCGUGCGAUACAGGGUGACAGCCCCGUACACAAAAAUGCACAUAUUGUGAGCUCGAUGAGUAGGGCGGGACACGUGGUAUCCUGUCUGAAUAUGGGGGGACCAUCCUCCAAGGCUAAAUACUCCUGACUGACCGAUAGUGAACCAGUACCGUGAGGGAAAGGCGAAAAGAACCCCGGCGAGGGGAGUGAAAAAGAACCUGAAACCGUGUACGUACAAGCAGUGGGAGCACGCUUAGGCGUGUGACUGCGUACCUUUUGUAUAAUGGGUCAGCGACUUAUAUUCUGUAGCAAGGUUAACCGAAUAGGGGAGCCGAAGGGAAACCGAGUCUUAACUGGGCGUUAAGUUGCAGGGUAUAGACCCGAAACCCGGUGAUCUAGCCAUGGGCAGGUUGAAGGUUGGGUAACACUAACUGGAGGACCGAACCGACUAAUGUUGAAAAAUUAGCGGAUGACUUGUGGCUGGGGGUGAAAGGCCAAUCAAACCGGGAGAUAGCUGGUUCUCCCCGAAAGCUAUUUAGGUAGCGCCUCGUGAAUUCAUCUCCGGGGGUAGAGCACUGUUUCGGCAAGGGGGUCAUCCCGACUUACCAACCCGAUGCAAACUGCGAAUACCGGAGAAUGUUAUCACGGGAGACACAAGGCGGGUGCUAACGUCCGUCGUGAAGAGGGAAACAACCCAGACCGCCAGCUAAGGUCCCAAAGUCAUGGUUAAGUGGGAAACGAUGUGGGAAGGCCCAGACAGCCAGGAUGUUGGCUUAGAAGCAGCCAUCAUUUAAAGAAAGCGUAAUAGCUCACUGGUCGAGUCGGCCUGCGCGGAAGAUGUAACGGGGCUAAACCAUGCACCGAAGCUGCGGCAGCGACGCUUAUGCGUUGUUGGGUAGGGGAGCGUUCUGUAAGCCUGCGAAGGUGUGCUGUGAGGCAUGCUGGAGGUAUCAGAAGUGCGAAUGCUGACAUAAGUAACGAUAAAGCGGGUGAAAAGCCCGCUCGCCGGAAGACCAAGGGUUCCUGUCCAACGUUAAUCGGGGCAGGGUGAGUCGACCCCUAAGGCGAGGCCGAAAGGCGUAGUCGAUGGGAAACAGGUUAAUAUUCCUGUACUUGGUGUUACUGCGAAGGGGGGACGGAGAAGGCUAUGUUGGCCGGGCGACGGUUGUCCCGGUUUAAGCGUGUAGGCUGGUUUUCCAGGCAAAUCCGGAAAAUCAAGGCUGAGGCGUGAUGACGAGGCACUACGGUGCUGAAGCAACAAAUGCCCUGCUUCCAGGAAAAGCCUCUAAGCAUCAGGUAACAUCAAAUCGUACCCCAAACCGACACAGGUGGUCAGGUAGAGAAUACCAAGGCGCUUGAGAGAACUCGGGUGAAGGAACUAGGCAAAAUGGUGCCGUAACUUCGGGAGAAGGCACGCUGAUAUGUAGGUGAAGUCCCUCGCGGAUGGAGCUGAAAUCAGUCGAAGAUACCAGCUGGCUGCAACUGUUUAUUAAAAACACAGCACUGUGCAAACACGAAAGUGGACGUAUACGGUGUGACGCCUGCCCGGUGCCGGAAGGUUAAUUGAUGGGGUUAGUGCAAGCGAAGCUCUUGAUCGAAGCCCCGGUAAACGGCGGCCGUAACUAUAACGGUCCUAAGGUAGCGAAAUUCCUUGUCGGGUAAGUUCCGACCUGCACGAAUGGCGUAAUGAUGGCCAGGCUGUCUCCACCCGAGACUCAGUGAAAUUGAACUCGCUGUGAAGAUGCAGUGUACCCGCGGCAAGACGGAAAGACCCCGUGAACCUUUACUAUAGCUUGACACUGAACAUUGAGCCUUGAUGUGUAGGAUAGGUGGGAGGCUUUGAAGUGUGGACGCCAGUCUGCAUGGAGCCGACCUUGAAAUACCACCCUUUAAUGUUUGAUGUUCUAACGUGGACCCGUAAUCCGGGUUGCGGACAGUGUCUGGUGGGUAGUUUGACUGGGGCGGUCUCCUCCUAAAGAGUAACGGAGGAGCACGAAGGUUGGCUAAUCCUGGUCGGACAUCAGGAGGUUAGUGCAAUGGCAUAAGCCAGCUUGACUGCGAGCGUGACGGCGCGAGCAGGUGCGAAAGCAGGUCAUAGUGAUCCGGUGGUUCUGAAUGGAAGGGCCAUCGCUCAACGGAUAAAAGGUACUCCGGGGAUAACAGGCUGAUACCGCCCAAGAGUUCAUAUCGACGGCGGUGUUUGGCACCUCGAUGUCGGCUCAUCACAUCCUGGGGCUGAAGUAGGUCCCAAGGGUAUGGCUGUUCGCCAUUUAAAGUGGUACGCGAGCUGGGUUUAGAACGUCGUGAGACAGUUCGGUCCCUAUCUGCCGUGGGCGCUGGAGAACUGAGGGGGGCUGCUCCUAGUACGAGAGGACCGGAGUGGACGCAUCACUGGUGUUCGGGUUGUCAUGCCAAUGGCACUGCCCGGUAGCUAAAUGCGGAAGAGAUAAGUGCUGAAAGCAUCUAAGCACGAAACUUGCCCCGAGAUGAGUUCUCCCUGACUCCUUGAGAGUCCUGAAGGAACGUUGAAGACGACGACGUUGAUAGGCCGGGUGUGUAAGCGCAGCGAUGCGUUGAGCUAACCGGUACUAAUGAACCGUGAGGCUUAACCUU
rnacentral:rRNA from 1 species